rnacentral:rRNA from 1 species
UGUGAACGUUACCAAACUGUUGCCUCGGCGGGAUCUCUGCCCCGGGUGCGUCGCAGCCCCGGACCAAGGCGCCCGCCGGAGGACCAACCAAAACUCUUAUUGUAUACCCCCUCGCGGGUUUUUUUAUAAUCUGAGCCUUCUCGGCGCCCCUCGUGGGCGUUUCGAAAAUGAAUCAAAACUUUCAACAACGGAUCUCUUGGUUCUGGCAUCGAUGAAGAACGCAGCGAAAUGCGAUAAGUAAUGUGAAUUGCAGAAUUCAGUGAAUCAUCGAAUCUUUGAACGCACAUUGCGCCCGCCAGUAUUCUGGCGGGCAUGCCUGUCCGAGCGUCAUUUCAACCCUCGAACCCCUCCGGGGGGUCGGCGUUGGGGAUCGGCCCUCCCUCUGCGGGGGCCGUCUCCGAAAUCCAGUGGCGGUCUCGCCGCAGCCUCUCCUGCGCAGUAGUUUGCACACUCGCACCGGGAGCGCGGCGCGUCCACAGCCGUUAAACACCCAACUUUCCGAAAUGUUGACCUCGGAUCAGGUAGGAAUACCCGCUGAACU